CCAGACUCCUACGGGAGGCAGCAGUGGGGAAUAUUGCACAAUGGGGGAAACCCUGAUGCAGCGACGCCGCGUGAGUGAGGAAGUAUUUCGGUAUGUAAAGCUCUAUCAGCAGGGAAGAAAAUGACGGUACCUGACUAAGAAGCCCCGGCUAACUACGUGCCAGCAGCCGCGGUAAUACGUAGGGGGCAAGCGUUAUCCGGAUUUACUGGGUGUAAAGGGAGCGUAGACGGAAUUGCAAGUCUGAUGUGAAAAUCCGGGGCCCAACCCCGGAACUGCAUUGGAAACUGUAUUUCUAGAGUGUCGGAGAGGCAAGUGGAAUUCCUGGUGUAGCGGUGAAAUGCGUAGAUAUCGCGCAGAACUCCGAUUGCGAAGGCAGCAUGCCGGCUCCACACUGACGCUGAGGCACGAAAGCGUGGGUAUCGAACAGGAUUAGAUACCCCAGUAAAC
rnacentral:rRNA from 1 species